rnacentral:rRNA from 1 species
UGGGGAAUUGUUCGCAAUGGGCGCAAGCCUGACGACGCAACGCCGCGUGGAGGAUGAAGACCUUCGGGUCGUAAACUCCUUUCGAUCGAGACGAAUGGCCUCCGGGUGAACAAUCCGGAGGAGUGACGGUACCGAGAGAAGAAGCCCCGGCUAACUCCGUGCCAGCAGCCGCGGUAAUACGGAGGGUGCGAGCGUUAUCCGGAAUCACUGGGUUUAAAGGGUGCGUAGGCGGCUGUAUAAGUCAGUGGUGAAAGGCUGUGGCUUAACCAUGGGAUUGCCAUUGAUACUGUACGGCUUGAAUUAGGAUGAGGUUGGCGGAAUGUGACAUGUAGCGGUGAAAUGCUUAGAUAUGUCAUGGAACAUCGAUUGCGAAGGCAGCUGACUGGACCUUAAUUGACGCUGAGGCACGAAAGCGUGGGGAGCGAACAGGAUUAGAUACCCAAGUAGUCCCUGAGCGGGCUGGCAAGGCGCAU